rnacentral:rRNA from 1 species
UCGAGAAUCUUCGGCAAUGGGCGAAAGCCUGACCGAGCGACGCCGCGUGGAGGAAGAAGGCCCUCGGGUUGUAAACUCCUGUUGGGGGGAAACACUUCGAGUGAACCCCUGAGGAAGCACGGGCUAAGUUCGUGCCAGCAGCCGCGGUAAGACGAACCGUGCAAACGUUAUUCGGAAUCACUGGGCUUAAAGCGCACGUAGGCGGUCUCGUAAGUUGGAAGUGAAAUCCCAUCGGCUCAACCGUGGAACUGCUCCCAAUACUGCGGGACUUGAGUGAGAUAGGGGCAUGUGGAACUUCCGGUGGAGCGGUGAUAUGUGUUGAGAUCGGAAGGAACGCCGGUGGCGAAAGCGACAUGCUGGGUCUUUUCUGACGCUGAGGUGCGAAAGCUAGGGGAGCGAACGGGAUUAGAUACCCCCGUAGUCC